GGCACGUCACCCUAAAAAUCACAACACUGACAGCCACCAUCUCUGGGGUGCUGACUUGGAACCAGACCUUGGAAGAUUAAAGACACAGCUUGGGACAGGGAUCCCUGGGUUCAAUCUUGGCUCUGACAUGACCUAACCUGAUGGCCUGGGAAGUCUGUUAAGUCCUCCUGAUCCGCCUUCAUGCAUUCGGCAAAUAUUUAUUAAGCAGGUGCUCUGAACCACAGAGGUGCUGAGGGCACCAGUGGACAUUCCGGAGACAAUCCCUUGUGCAGCACAGCGGGUGGAGACCCUCAAAACUGGUCAUGAUAGUGAUAUUAACAAAACUUAAAAUUCCACAUGUCAGUUGGUGAUGGAUUGCCUGGAGAGAAGACGGGCAAGGAGCGCUGGUGAAGGGGCCUUAUUCAUUGAAACAGGACUGUCAGGGAAGCCCCCGGAUACACUCACAUCCGAGCAAAGACCUGAAAGAUGUGCAAGAGAAACCAUGUCAUUAUCUCUGGGAAGAGAGUCCCAGGCAAAAGGAACAGCAAGUACAAAGGCCCUGGGACUGCAGCCUGCCUGGUCUGAGUUGUUGACUAGACACGUUGAGUGGCAGCUGGAUCUUCAAGCCUGAGUUCAGGUGACACACCCCAGCAGAAGAGGAUGUGCCAGACUGUCACCUUCUACCCCUUCCUGGUGUUGCUUUUCUGCCCUGGCUGCGUUGAGCUCCGUGUCUUUGGGUUUCUUGCCCUGAGCCCGCGUUUCCUCCUGCCCCCACGUGGGACGAUGGCCUCUGCCUGGCGUGGAGAUUAACAGACAUGGUGCCUGCAAAGGACAGUGGGUCGGUACUGCGGCUUGCCCAAAGUGGGUGCUCAGUGUGCACGGAUGUUCGCAACAGUCAGAAACGCAGACGCCCUCCCCUGCAGGCUGGAGAAGGCAGCCAGGGAAGGCUCUCCUGGUGGAACAGCACUCCGCCAUGGAACCAGUCGUGGAUCCUUUCAGCAGCAGGGGGGAGCCUUGCAGGCAUCACAUUGUGUGGAAGAUGAUGGAUACAAAGAGGACACACACUGCGUGGGUCACUCUGUUUGAAACUCUGGAUGAGACAGAAGCCCCCCGGGGCUGGCGGCACAGAGAUUGGUGGUGACCUGGGACAGUGGGUGGCAAAGGUCGCCUGGGAAGGAGCCUGGGCAAGCCCGGUCAAGGAAGUAUUUGUAUCUCAUUUUAGGGGGUUGAUUUGUAGAAUCUGUAAAUGUCUACGAAUUUUAGGGCCGGUUAAU